rnacentral:ncRNA from 1 species
UCGAAAUCAAUCGAAUACACUCGUAUAUACUCGGGGAUAAGGCCCGGACGUUUCUACCCAAGAACCUUAAAUUUUUGGACUACGAGAACCAGAGAAAUUCGG